AUGUUGGGAGGUCGGGGGGCGGGGCCCGGGGGGGGAGGCGCGCGGAGGCGGCCGCGGGGGUCCCCUGCGCGAGCGCUGCCCCCUCAGCUGCUCCUCCUGAGGGCGUCGCGCCGGGUGUCCCCCCUCACCCAGCGACGGUCUGGGGGUGCCGAGGCUCCCCCCCUUUUCCCAGGUCUUCAUCAGCCGCCCCGGGAGGGGAGAGGGAGGCCGCGAGUCGGGGAGCGAGUGUCUUUCCUUUGGACUGUCUCCAGUGCGGUCCUAGCCCAGCAGGCAGGGCCACCGCGGUGAAGGGGGGUGAAGCGGCCUGUCGUCUGCCUGUGUGCCGGUUACCUCUGCGGGGCAGGGAGCUUGCUGCUCUGUGCCCAGUGGUGAUUGCUCCCGAGGCAGCUCCAGCCCUGAAGGAAGCACCUUGCAUCCAAGAAAACCCAUAGAUAAUCAGCGUUUGCUUUGCCUCAUGAAAAAUGCCAGUGACCAAGGACAUAUAAGGUGGAAAAGAAGAUCAUCUUAAUACCAAUGCAUGAAAUAAAGGUAUCCUCUGCAGAAAAGGCCAUGACUUACACAAGGUGGUCUGGUCAGUUCCUGCAGUGCAGUCCUUUAUGUAUGAUACAGCUUUUGCUAGCUGCAGUCAUUGACUUCAGAAAAUGUGGAUCUUUUCCACAUUUACAGAAUUAUUGUUAUAUUCUAAUACAGUAUAAGCAUGUAUGCUGGAUGCUGCUAGAUAUUUUUAGGAAGGGAGCCAAACAGAUGAGAUUCACAAUGGUGGAAGCCUUACAAGGAAUGCACAGUUACUCUUGAUGCUCCAGGGAGUGCAUGAGACAGCAGUACAUUAAAAUGUGUACUGACUACCUCUACAGUCUGUUGUUCCUGCUGGCUGUUAGAGAAGAAGACUUGGCAUUCACCUUCUUCCUUGCCCAAAGAAGUUAAAUCGUGAAAUAUAUAAAAUGGAAACUUUGAGACAAGGCUUUUCACUGUCUGUUGCCAAAUAUUUUCUCUCUGAAGUCUUGUACCAGUACAACAGAAAUUCUGGGUUGCAAAAGGGCAUCAUACAUGCUGGUACUUUCUUGUUGUCAAAGGACAGAAUACCUGAUGUGGAUCCUUCUUUGCUACAGUGAUUCCUACCUUCCUUAACAGAUUCUUCAUGUUUCUGCAAAAAAGCAGAAGUUAGAGUGUAUGUAACAGCUGAAACUGGUUCUAGCAGAGUUAAGAGCUGAACGAACGUAACAUGGCAUAAAGCUAAUUUGAUCCCAAGUGAUAGGCCUCAGGCUAAAUAAUACUUAGGUGGGUGCAUGGGUCCUGCCUUGUUCUGAGAUGAUGAAGGAAGAAUAUUGAAAACCAAAUGCAGUGAGAUGUAGGUACUCACCAGGGGCAACUCUGUCAUCAUUACUUAUAAUGAACUUCUGACUUUAGAGCAACACGUUCUUGGGUCAUGGCUUGCCAGCCACCUGGUCAGAGUGUAAAGCAUUGGCACAAGUGCAUGAGGAAAAUUGGAUGCAUCAGCAUGGAUUCAACCUUCAGUCCCAAAAUAAUAUUUUACACAGAAAGGCUGCUAAACUCCUUUAGAGUUUAGCUAUUACAAGAGCUAAGUAGUUGUUAUGUAAUUACUUAAUUAUUAUGCUGUUUUGUGAUGGAAGGGCUGUAUAUUUUCCUGCUGAAGCUGAAGCUUCUAGCUCAGAUCAAAUAAGCAAUAUAUCUCCAUUAACAUUAAUAUGUGCUACUUUAUGUCUAAAAUAUAUACUAUUUGGUACUUUGGUAUGAAUAGAAACUAGCGUUCUUAUGUUUUAAAUAAGGAAUCUUGUGGAACCCAAGCUUCUCAGAUUUUUGCCAGAUACUUGCUGGUUCCCUGCCAGCUCAUCUACCCAUCCACUUGGCCAGUUGCCCAGCCUUCCAAAAGCUGCAGCUGUCUCUGCGUCAAGGUCGGUAGCACUUCCAGGCUCCAGAGCGGGUGGCCAGAUGGACUUCUUCUCAGGUACCACCCAAAGGGUUCCCAUCUUUGUGGGGUGAUAUGCUGUGCAGACAGCCUCCUAGCAGGGUGGUAGGCUAAGGAACUUUCAGGUCUGAAGAUGGUUUAUCUCAUUCCAGCUUUUAGUAGUUUUCUAAGAAAUUGUUUUAUAAGUGGACAUCCUAUUCCUGCCAGUAAGGAAGAUCUUGUAUCUGAAAAGAGUUUAACACAUCACUUUGUAGCAGUCCUGCUUCCAAGGUUCGUGUAGAAAUGAUACAAAACGCAAUGGCAUGUCUAGAGGAAUGUUGCUUUUAAGUUGGAAUUUAGCUUCUGACAGGGUAUUAGGUUUUGUUGGAGGUUUGGGUUUUCUUUUUAUCUUAACAGACAUUCUUGUUUCUCCUAUAAAUAUCUAAUCUUAUUUCAGAUUGAACUAGACCUCAGCAAUAUCUUGUGGACUAACACACAAUUUUUUAAUCAGUUAGAUAUUCAUGGUAGUUAAUACACCCUUGGUAUUAAUAAUGUAUUGUGGAAGGACUGUAAUAAUAAAUAAAACCUGAUAAGCUUUA